rnacentral:rRNA from 1 species
GNUAGAGUGUGUCAGAGGGAGGUGGANUUCCGCAUGUAGCAGUGAAAUGCGUAGAUAUGCGGAGGAACNCCGAUGGCGAAGGCAGCCUCCUNGGAUAACACUGACGCUCAUGCACGAAAGCGUGGGGAGCAAACAGGAUUAGAUACCNUGGUAGUCCACGCCCUAAACGAUGUCUACUAGUUGUCGGGGAUUAAUUUCCUUGGUAACGCAGCUAACGCGUGAAGUAGACCGCCUGGGGAGUACAGUCGCAAGAUUAAAACUCAAAGGAAUUGACGGGGACCCGCACAAGCGGUGGAUGAUGUGGAUUAAUUCGAUGCAACGCGAAAAACCUUACCUACGCUUGACAUGUCCGGAACCCUGAAGAGAUUUGGGGGUGCUCGAAAGAGAGCCGGAACACAGGUGCUGCAUGGCUGUCGUCAGCUCGUGUCGUGAGAUGUUGGGUNNNNNNNNNCAACGAGCGCAACCCUUAUCAUUAGUUGCUACGCAAGGGCACUCUAAUGAGACUGCCGGUGACAAACCGGAGGAAGGUGGGGAUGACGUCAAGUCCUCAUGGCCCUUAUGUGUAGGGCUUCACACGUCAUACAAUGGUCGGUACAGAGGGUUGCGAAGCCGCGAGGUGGAGCCAAUCCCAAAAAACCGAUCGUAGUCCGGAUUGCAGUCUGCAACUCGACUGCAUGAAGUCGGAAUCGCUAGUAAUCGCGGAUCAGCAUGCCGCGGUGAAUAUGUUCCCGGGUCU